AGUGAACGCUGGCGGUAGGCCUAACACAUGCAAGUCGAACGGCAGCACAGUAAGAGCUUGCUCUUACGGGUGGCGAGUGGCGGACGGGUGAGGAAUACAUCGGAAUCUACUUUUUCGUGGGGGAUAACGUAGGGAAACUUACGCUAAUACCGCAUACGACCUACGGGUGAAAGCAGGGGAUCUUCGGACCUUGCGCGAUUGAAUGAGCCGAUGUCGGAUUAGCUAGUUGGCGGGGUAAAGGCCCACCAAGGCGACGAUCCGUAGCUGGUCUGAGAGAAUGAUCAGCCACACUGGAACUGAGACACGGUCCAGACUCCUACGGGAGGCAGCAGUGGGGAAUAUUGGACAAUGGGCGCAAGCCUGAUCCAGCCAUACCGCGUGGGUGAAGAAGGCCUUCGGGUUGUAAAGCCCUUUUGUUGGGAAAGAAAAGCAGUAGGUUAAUACCCCGCUGUUCUGACGGUACCCAAAGAAUAAGCACCGGCUAACUUCGUG
rnacentral:rRNA from 1 species